rnacentral:rRNA from 1 species
UACAGAGGGUGCGAGCGUUAUCCGGAAUCACUGGGCGUAAAGGGCGCGUAGGCGGCUCAGUAAGGUUGCGGUGAAAGCCCGGGGCUCAACCCCGGGUCGGCCGUGGCAACUGCUGGGCUGGAGCACUGUAGAGGCAGGUGGAAUUCCGGGGUGUAGCGGUGGAAUGCGUAGAGAUCCGGAAGAACACCGGUGGCGAAGGCGGCCUGCUGGGCAGUAGCUGGACGCUGAGAGCGAAAGCGUGGGGAGCGAACAGG